UCCUAUUUUGGUGCCAAUGUCUUACAUCCUCGAACAAUUGUUCCAGUGAUGCAAUAUGACAUUCCAAUUGUUAUAAAAAAUAUCUUCAACUUUUCUGCACCUGGAACAAUGAUCUGCCGAUCCUCUGGCGAUGAACAUGAAGACGGACAAAAAGUCUUUCUGCACCUGGAACUAUGAUCUGCCGAUCCUCUGGCGAUGAACAUGAAGACGGACAAAAAGUGGAGUCCCUUGUGAAAGGAUUUGCAACAGUUGACAAUGUAGCCAUUGUGAAUGUUGAGGG
rnacentral:lncRNA from 1 species